UACGGGGGGAGCAAGCGUUGUUCGGAUUUACUGGGCGUAAAGGGCGCGUAGGCGGUCAGCACAAGUCAGUUGUGAAAUCUCCGGGCUUAACUCGGAAAGGUCAACUGAUACCGUGCGACUAGAGUGCAGAAGGGGCAACUGGAAUUCUCGGUGUAGCGGUGAAAUGCGUAGAUAUCGAGAGGAACACCUGCGGCGAAGGCGGGUUGCUGGGCUGACACUGACGCUGAUGCGCGAAAGCCAGGGGAGCGAACAGG
rnacentral:rRNA from 1 species